CCUACGGGGCGCAGCAGUGGGGAAUAUUGCACAAUGGGGGAAACCCUGAUGCAGCGACGCCGCGUGGAGGAAGAAGGUCUUCGGAUUGUAAACUCCUGUCCUUGGGGACGAUAAUGACGGUACCCAAGGAGGAAGCACCGGCUAACUACGUGCCAGCAGCCGCGGUAAAACGUAGGGUGCAAGCGUUGUCCGGAAUUACUGGGUGUAAAGGGCGUGUAGGCGGGACUGCAAGUCAGAUGUGAAACCCAUGGGCUCAACCCAUGGCCUGCAUUUGAAACUGUAGUUCUUGAGUGAUGGAGAGGCAG
rnacentral:rRNA from 1 species